rnacentral:rRNA from 1 species
CAUGCCGCGUGUGUGAAGAAGGCUUUCGGGUUGUAAAGCACUUUCAGUGAGGAGGAAAAGUUGGUCACUAAUAUUGGCCAGCCUUGACGUUACUCACAGAAGAAGCACCGGCUAACUCCGUGCCAGCACCUGCGGUGACUGAGCGGGCUGGCAAGGCGCAUA